CCCAAGAUGGCAAGUUGCUUAAAACCUAAAGCUCCUUUCAAUUCUUUACAAUCCAAGAUUAUAUGGAAUGGACUGGGAACAAAGAGAGGGACUGGCAUUUAAAGUCUUUUAUACACUUUGGAACAAAUGUUAUUCUCCAUUCAUCCUGACACUAAAUUGGUUAGCCAAACCCAAAGAUCUACUAAUAAUCCUGCUUUGGCAUGGGAGAAUGAGUGAGAUAAGGAGGCAAUAGAGGAGAUGAAUCGACAAAUGGAAGGAAUAGAAUUCUGGUUGAUGUCCUUGUCUCUAAGCUGUAGCAGCAAGUAUUUAUCCUAAAUGUUUCAAUUCAUGCCAUCACAUCUUUGAAAACUGGCAAUUCAACCUUGCCUUGAGCAUUUCCAUGUACAGGAAACACAUGAUCUCUUAAGGAGUCCAUUUCACCGUCAGACGGUUCUGAAGGAUGUGAGUGGUUCUCAACAUUGAAACCAGUGCUGGCUCCUGGUUUGAAUUUCUGUAGCCACUCCAGUCUCGUUCUUGUGCUCACCAUUCCUCCAAAUUGGCCGCCUAUGACUUCUAUGACAAUAAAUCCAAUGGACCCUUGCCAAGCUUAUCAUAUUUUCUCAGCAGCAUUUGACCCAGUUGGCAUUCUUGA
rnacentral:lncRNA from 1 species